AGACAAAGUAAUAACUGUCAUUGUGCUUAGAAGAACUGACGGGUGACUGCAGCAGUGCAAUGAACAAGACCAGAAGAGGCAAUCCCCCACCCACGGCAGCUUUGUAUCUUCCUGUACACUUACGAAGGUACUCCUGAUAAGACGCUGAGGGUGAUGCACCUCUUAGACCAGUCGGAGCCCCCACCCACCUGUUCCCUUACGCUGACGAAGAGAGAAAACAGACGAGAGGGGUUUUCUCUUUCACUCUCACUUCCUCUCUUCUGGUUGCCGUAGAUUGUUGUAAAGAUUGUGUGUAUGGAGAGAACUUGUGCACUACCACUGACGGGGCAGAAAGACUGAGGUAGCAUGAACAUGGACAUACUGACUAACCUAUGAUACAAUCUGAAAUUCCAAAAUGUGUAAGUUGUGAAGUGGAGUAGAUGACCAUCAUUAAAUAUGCAGUGAUAUUUCCAUAAAAGGUUUCCUAUGGCUAAAAUAUAACUGUGAUUAAAGAUUGGUUGUCAUAAUAAUAAUAAUAAACAACAACAACAAUCUAUUGUAAUAAAAAUUGAGCUCAUCGACUAUGUCUUUGUCUUUUAAACACAAUGACCUCAGAAGCGGAUUUUAGUCAUUAUCUUUUAAAACUGCCCAAUGAAAAGUCCCAUUUCAGUGAAAGCAUAAAGGAGACUUUAUUUACAUUUGGCAUUGACAUUCAAUUGAACUCACAGACAAUGAGAUAUAAUAUGGGAUAUAAUUCAGAUUGUCAAAA